rnacentral:rRNA from 1 species
UGAGGAAUAUUGGUCAAUGGGCGAGAGCCUGAACCAGCCAAGUAGCGUGCAGGAUGACGGCCCUAUGGGUUGUAAACUGCUUUUAUGUGGGGAUAAAGUGCGUGACGUGUCAUGCAUUGCAGGUACCACAUGAAUAAGGACCGGCUAAUUCCGUGCCAGCAGCGGCGGUAAUACGGAAGGUCCGGGCGUUAUCCGGAUUUAUUGGGUUUAAAGGGAGCGUAGGCUGUCUAUUAAGCGUGUUGUGAAAUUUACCGGCUCAACCGGUGGCUUGCAGCGCGAACUGGUCGACUUGAGUAUGCAGGAAGUAGGCGGAAUUCAUGGUGUAGCGGUGAAAUGCUUAGAUAUCAUGACGAACUCCGAUUGCGCAGGCAGCUUACUGUAGCAUAACUGACGCUGAUGCUCGAAAGUGCGGGUAUCAAACAGG